rnacentral:rRNA from 1 species
GUGGGGAAUAUUGGACAAUGGGCGAAAGCCUGAUCCAGCCAUGCCGCGUGUGUGAAGAAGGUCUUCGGAUUGUAAAGCACUUUAAGUUGGGAGGAAGGGCAGUAAGUUAAUACCUUGCUGUUUUGACGUUACCGACAGAAUAAGCACCGGCUAACUUCGUGCCAGCAGCCGCGGUAAUACGAAGGGUGCAAGCGUUAAUCGGAAUUACUGGGCGUAAAGCGCGCGUAGGUGGUUUUGUAAGUUGGAGGUGAAAUCCCCGGGCUCAACCUGGGAACUGCCUCCAAAACUGCAUGACUAGAGUACGGUAGAGGGUAGUGGAAUUGCCUGUGUAGCGGUGAAAUGCGUAGAUAUAGGAAGGAACACCAGUGGCGAAGGCGACUACCUGGACUGAUACUGACACUGAGGUGCGAAAGCGUGGGGAGCAAACAGGAUUAGAAACCCCAGUAGUCC